CUAAAGGUAUUCCCUAGUAGCGGCGAGCGAAGCGGGAAGAGCUCAAAUUUAUAAUCUGGCACCUUCGGUGUCCGAGUUGUAAUCUCUAGAAGUGUUUUCCGCGUUGGACCGCACACAAGUCUGUUGGAAUACAGCGGCAUAGUGGUGAAACCCCCGUAUAUGGUGCGGACGCCCAGCGCUUUGUGAUACACUUUCAAUGAGUCGAGUUGUUUGGGAAUGCAGCUCAAAUUGGGUGGUAAAUUCCAUCUAAAGCUAAAUAUUGGCGAGAGACCGAUAGCGAACAAGUACCGUGAGGGAAAGAUGAAAAGCACUUUGGAAAGAGAGUUAACAGUACGUGAAAUUGUUGGAAGGGAAACGCUUGAAGUCAGACUUGCUUGCCGGAGCUUGCUUCGGUUUGCAGGCCAGCAUCAGUUUUCCGGGGUGGAUAAUGACGGUUUGAAGGUAGCAGUCUCGGCUGUGUUAUAGCUUUCCGUUGGAUACAUCCUGGGGGACUGAGGAACGCAGCGUGCUUUUUGCGAAAGACUCGUCUUUUUCACGCUUAGGAUGCUGGUGGAAUGGCUUUAAACGACCCGUCUUGA
rnacentral:rRNA from 1 species